CUCACUCGACGUGUAUGGGUCAGAUGUGCCUUCUUCUUUUCCUUCUACAUUAUUUUUGGCCAUGUGUUUGGGGCAUUUUGGUACUUUUAUUCGAUAUUUCGUGAGACAGCUUGCUGGCACAAGGCAUGUGUAAGAGUUGGACCACAAGAAUGCACACUUGGUCCUUUUGACUGUAGUCAUGGCCUUCAUCCCAUUAAGAAUUUAACAUUGCUGAACCAGCAUUGCCCUGUUAAUCCACCAAAUCCCUCCAUCUUCAAUUUUGGAAUAUUUUCUCAAGCCAUUGAGUCUCGUAUAGUGUGCAAAACUGAUUUUCUCAGAAAAUUUUCUCGUAGUUUUUGGUGGGGUUUGAGAAAUUUAAGCUCUUUUGGUCAAAACCUCGACACAAGUAGCAAUGUAGAAGAAAAUCUGUUCGCAGUUCUUAUUUCUAUCCUGGGCUUACUUUUGUUUUUAUACCUUAUUGGAAAUUUACAGGUAUA